UUGCUUGGUGAUUUGCUCUGCUGUUGGACCAAUAACGCUGGGCAGAGAAAUGGGGCACCACAGGUAGGCAGACCAAGACCCAUACUCCCUCUUGCAGCUGGAGGAUGGUGGUGUGGCCAGCAGCCCCACAGGAUGCACAUGGGAGAGAGAGCUUCUGUCACUGUGCCAUCAAGCCCUGGUCCCGACUGUGGGAAACCUCCUCAUGCCCUGCCCUGGACGCUCACGGCUUCCGGAUGGCACAGCUUCCUUCAUGAGCGGCUGACCUGGGCCUGCCAUGCUUCUUGAGGGUCUCCAAAGCAGACCACAAGCUCACCUGGUAGAAGCUGUGUUUACAGUUCUGUAUUGUGAGGCGGAUGGAGUUGUGAUGAAGAUGCCCUUCAAAGUCCCCCUCCCCACAAGAAAAACUUGUGUUUUGCUGCUUGCGUGGGGGCACUUGCCCAUGGCAGUGAAGCAAACGGA